rnacentral:sRNA from 1 species
ACGCAUCGUGUCCCGAAACCACCCUGC